CAGGGAAAGCUCAAUGGGUAUACUCUGGCCGCGAUCCGUUACACGCUCCCAACGGUCGCGAGCAUCAUUCUAUCUUUGUUGCCAUCUUAGUGUUUGGAUGUUAAACAUCCAAAGAUUAAAGAUAGAAUAACGUUCGUUGGGAGCGUGUAACGGAUCGCGAGCUCGGGUCUACGUGCGUUGUUAUAUGAAGGUCGCGCGACUCACGGCGCGUCGUAACAGACGCCGCGCCGCACGCCACAACAGUCCGCGACGCGCGCGAGUCUACACGUCUAGUGAGACGUCGUCCGCGAUUUUUUGGAGUUUGAUACGCACCCGCAGUCAGCAUAAUGAAAAGGAGAUAUUCGCGAUCGUCUCGAGUUGCUGUCGUCGUGAACAGUAAAAGCACAUCGUACUCUACUACGAGAGAUCUCUGACAAGAAUUGCGACCACAGACGGCGAUACACCGCGGUUUCGACGAAUGCGGGAUUUCGUGGAUGGCGUGCCGGAGGAUCCGGAUCGGGCCGAGCAGAGCCGGUUCGAAGAUUUGUAGCAGAACGCGGCCGGCUUUGAGUUUGCGGUGUUUACAGUGCCAUAAAUGAUAAUGCGGCACUCAUUCGGACGAAAAUUGUCGCGACGACGGAUCUUGUUUUAGCAACGGAAUGCACGGACUUCGCCAAUACAAUCUUCGUCUGUGCGGCGUUACGAAAGGAGCUCCCGGCGUCAUGGAAUAUUCCACGUGUGCGAAUGUAAAGGACGCGAAACGGAUUUUCGGCCCGAAGAACAGGAUCGAGACAGGCGGGCCAGCGCGCGCGAUCAUAAAAUUGUCAAUUCGCCUCGUCAUUUUCAACCGAGAGAGUCUCGAGACCCGGCUUCAGGCUCGUACGUAAUUUAGCGACAAAACGGAAGCCUCUCUCCCCUUCUCCCCCCUCUCUCCCUCUCAUUUCUCAUCCCGUCUCCUGUCCCACACGUGUCACGCCAGUUUCAGUUUCCAUCGACGCAUAACCGUGUGUGAUCCACGCUAAUUGGAUGAAUGGUUAAUAUACCGUUAACUUUUGCCAUGCUUCGUUCCUCGACCCGCCGCUCGGUGUUAGCGAGUAUCCUCUAGUUUUCUCCCUUCUCUCCCUCUCUCUUUCUCUCUCUCUCUCUCUCUCUCCCUCUCGGUACAUACCGUGCUUCUUUCCACAAACUCGCUCACCAAUGACUCGCCCUUAUCACCCGUUCUCCUUUCCUUCUCGCUUUGCGCCCAUCGAGUGCAGCGGACCUAGUUCCGAAACGAACGAACGCGUUCUCCACGCUGGAAUCUACACGUGCACGGGUUCAAAACAAACGCCACAAGAGAACGUUCGAGUUGGACGAGAGUUGGAACGCUCUACCGUGCGUUCUCUUUUUGGUAAGCGAAAGGUGGGCGUUGGUUGAAUCGACGUUAUUUAGAAACGGUAACAUGCGCUGGAAACCUAAUUUCACGGCGGGCGAUGGGAGAAUUUUUGUUUGCCUUUAAGUUCGCGGCCCAAUUUCGCGCGUGUACGAGCUUAGUAUUCCACAUUCGUAAUUUUCAUUUAAUUUGCACGUUACGUCGAUUUAAUUAAUGUCGGCGUCUUUCUCUCAUGAACAUAAUAAUUAAAAAUUAUUAUUCAUAGAGAGAACAUUUUCCGAUAAUUAAUAGAUAUGUAAUCACGAAGGAACAAACGACAAAUAAAUUGACUGUGAUAUAAUAAAUUAACAGACAUUUAUCGUCAAUAAUAUGUCAUUGCGUGUCCGAGAUAAUUGAUUGAAUUGUGUAUCACGUAGAGAUGAUAUCAUCUCCUUUGUUGAUAGCCAAUCGCGACUGUAGGCCUCGACGCGUGAUAUAAUCGAGAAAUUGAUAAAAACCUGCUGUUUUACGGGUUCGUGAUACAAGCACUUUUAGAGAAUCCCACCUGUCGAGGAGAGAUAUCCGAGCUGUUGCGAAAGAAACGGGGUAGACGAGUAUCCGAAUGUCACGCCGGAUACCGACACGUCUGCGUAAACGCGCGCGAAGAUGCACCCGAACAGGUAUCGACAGAAAUGCAGGUGCAUCGUCCAAAUAUGCGGCAGAAUAUACGCGACAGCGUAAAACUUUCAUAAGGAGAAUGGGGAGACUCGAGGAAUUCAUCGAAUAUGGAGGAAACGUCGGAAGUCGCGCAUUUUCCGUUGAAUUUGUAUUGAAACUUCCCUCAACUUCCAUCGCGACUCUCUCUCUUUUCCGUAAAUAGAAACAUUCGCGCAAUUGAAUUUUGCAUUAAAAUCCGAUCCAAGUCAAAUUCAAUCCAGGGUGAAAUUCUCAAAAAUAUCAUUUUGUGCGAGUUUUGGUGUAUAUAAUUUCGUGCAAAAUUCCUUGAAUUUUCGAUUACGCUACAGCAGUGUUGGAACAAUCGCCAGAUCUCCACAAUUUGGAGAAAAUUCGCCACCUCUUUCGUAAAUAGAAACAUUCGCGCAAUAUUGAAUCUUUCAUUAAAAUCCGACCCAAGAUGAAAUUUAAAAAGAUGAUAUUUGCGCGAACUCUCUGGUAUAAAGUUUCGCUGGUGAAAUGAAAUUCUUUCCAUUUUCGAUGACGUGCUUACAGCAGCAGCAUCAGUGUUGAAACAACUGCCACGUUUACGACUUUCGAUCUCCACAAUUCAGAGAAAAUUCGUCACCUCUAAAAGAGCCUGUGUGUAAGACUGCAACGCGGGACGCGACCACUUCCCGUCUCCGACACAUUUCACAGCGACGUCCACGACACGCAGUUCGUCGCGAGCAGAAUUCUUCGCCCUUCUAAUAAAACGGAGGUAUUUUACGACGAGGUAUCUUACUAUGCGCGCGAAAAGAUCGGUACACGAGUUAAACUACGACCGUCGCUGCGAGAGAGCCGAACGCCGCGCCGGUAGCUGCUGCUGCAUGAAGGGACAAGAAGCGUUCUUGGUAUUUUACUGGUCGGACGAGUAAAAUUCCACCGGCUGCUAAUCUACGGGAAUACCGAAACGGGGUUCGGACUUUGUGCAAGAAGCUUCUGCUUCGUUUGCUGCAAACGGACACGCGACGCCGGCGAACCGGCGCGACAGCUGGAAGGCUUUCAAUUACGAUUGGGCGAAACAGGGAAAGGAACGAGUCGCAUAU